GAUGAAGAACGUAGCGAAAUGCGAUAAGUAAUGUGAAUUGCAGAAUUCAGUGAAUCAUCGAAUCUUUGAACGCACAUUGCGCCCGCCAGUAUUCUGGCGGGCAUGCCUGUUCGAGCGUCAUUUCAACCAUCAAGCCCCCGGCUUGUGUUGGGGACCUGCGGCUGCCGCAGGCCCUGAAAAGCAGUGGCGGGCUCGCUGUCACACCGAGCGUAGUAGACUUCAUCUCGCUCAGGGCGUGCUGCGGGUUCCGGCCGUUAAACCACCUUCAUAACCCAAGGUUGACCUCGGAUCAGGUAGGAAGACCCGCUGAACUUAAGCAUAUCAAUAAGCGGAGGA
rnacentral:misc_RNA from 1 species